CUAUCUCAUCCGCUGCUGGGAGCUUGCAAUCUUCCAGGAACGUUUUUUUGGUGCUAGCCGAGAGAGAAUCGAGAGGAAGAGAGAGAGAAAACCAUGCGCUGUAGCCUGCUUGUGAAGCCACAAGGCCUCGGCUGGUCGCUCAGGAGGGAUCUCACCGGUGGGCGCUAGAAGGUUGGACAACCGAUGUCGCGGGGUGUGAAGCUCGCCGGACUUGGGAUCUCUGCGCGGUCACCUGUGCUCGGCUGAGCCGUGGUCUGGAGCGACCACAUGGCGAGGGGACUGGACAUCGGAGUUUAGAGCGUCGCCGUGAUCCAAGCGCCACGGUCGGUCAACUCUGCUCCGGUCGACGGUGAGUUUCCCCUCCGCACUCCGUUGCAUCUUCUAUGUUGGCGCUCGGUGUGGCGAUCUAGGAGCUGUCGGGGAGGAUCCUGUGCGCCGAGCCGUAGAUAGAAGAUGAUGGCAUGGCCAUCGGUAAGGGGAAGAAGGCGAGCCCAGGGCCAUCGACCUCGUGAUGAACGGUUAAGAUUAGAAGAAAGGGUAGAAGAAGCCGGGGCCAUAGGAUGCGAUCCGAACGGCCACGAUCAAAUCGCAGAUACCCUUUUGGGCGAUGGAAGCUAGACCGUAGAUCCGAGAUCCAAGGGCCCUGAUGGCAUACCGGUUCGGUAAAGUGAGCAUUUCAUCUAGGUCCUUGGUGUCUAAUCCAACGGCUCAAAAUAGAUCUUACCCCUUCGCCGUGCACUUUUCUUAAAGAGCCCCUUUGUUUUCUAGAAAAUAACCCGUCGUCCAUGCGGGUGUGGUUCUGAGUGUUGAGAACAUUUGCGCAGGGGACCCUGUACUUUACAGAAUUUGAUGCGCGGUCCAGAGAGAUAGAAAAAUCAGAAAAAUAAAUUUAGAAAAUGAUUUUAAUGUGAAAAUAAAUGCUAGAAACUUGUAAAAUUCAUAGUUAAUUCAUUUUAACUCCAAAUUGAGUCAUUUCAGUUCCUAUAAUUUUGUAUUAAUAUUGUCUAUCAACCAGUAACACUAGUUAGCCAUGAAGAUUGAAUUAAAAUUGUUCAUUUGGAUUAAUCUAUUCUAAGCACUAAAUAAUUUCGGAAAUUCAUAACCGUAGCUCCGAAUUUAGUGGUUCUUGUUCCUACGAUCUCGUAGCAACGUGUAGAUUAUUAUUAUACAAUUUGUUCUUAUAUUUGGUGUAAUGUUAAUUUUGCCUAUACCAUGUUUGUCUGUAUUGCUACGACUAGCAGCGAGGUUACGAGUCACCUGAAGAUCAUCCUGGUAUACCUGGAAUCUCAAGUCCCAGGCAAGUUGUGCCCUUGAUCACUUCUUUUUACCCACUCAUGUUCUAAUUAAUCAUAAUGAUCUGCAUAGGUUAAUUUUGAUGGGACCCAAUAGGUUACCCUAGUUUGAGUAUCUUUAUACCUUGUUUACCACUAAACUUUUUGGGUAGUACUUGCUAGUGCUUUAUGUGGUUUUGGGUAUGAAGAUACAUUAUUCAUGAUCACACUUUUAUUAUCUGUUUAUUAUCACUGUUCAUGAUAAGAUCAUUAUGUUAAUUGGAACAUGGAGCGACCACCCGGGAAAACAGUGCUACCACAAGGGUUUAAUGGGACGCCCUUGGCUAAUUAAUUAGGAAAGCUAGUGGAGGACUACCUUACCCGAAAGGGGCAAGGGCAGUAGGGGAGUGGUCAGUGUAGGGAGGCCCUCGGGAGGAUUUUGCUGCGAUGGCGGUCCUGCAAGGGAUUCCUGCAUUGGAGCUUCCUAUAAACUGUAGCGGGUUUUCUGAAGCUAGUGGAACUUUGUAAAGGCCUCGUAGUGUUACCCUGCCUCGCCUCCUCGGUAGAGGUGUAUGGGAAGUCGCGAUCCCUUGGCAGAUGGGUAACAUGACUUGUGGGUAAAGAUGUGCAACCUCUGCAGAGUGUAAAACUGGUAUACUAGCCGUGCUCACGGUCAUGAGCAGCUCGGACCCUCACAUGAUUAAUCUAUGGAACUUAAAUUCAAUUUGUCAUAUGCAUUGCAUCGCAGGUGAUGUUGUUACUUCUGUUCUACUAUUUAAUUGGGUUGGUAUUUACUUAUACUUAGUAAUGGCUAAUAAAAUUUUGACCAACUUUAAAAGCAAUGCUCAGCUUCAGCCAUCCUCUUUGGUAAGCCUUACACUUCACAUGAGCUCCCACCUUUGGCGAGUUCAUACACAUUAUUCCCCACAACUUGUUGAGCGAUGAACGUAUGUGAGCUCACUCUUGCUGUCUCACACCCCCACAGGUCAAGAACAGGUACCGCAGGAUGAGGCGCUUGGAGGAUGCUGCGAUGUGUUCGUGAGAGGUCUAGGCCGUCGUCUCCCAGUCAACUUUGGUUGCUGGACCGUUGUCUCCUUAUAAUGUAUUUAUUUAUUUAUUUUGUAUAGAACUCCUGUUAUGUAGUAAAGAUGUGACAUUCGAUCCUGUGCCAUGAAUCAUCAUAUGUGUGAGACUUGGUCCCAGCACACCUGGUGAUUAUGUUCGCGCCCGGGUUUUGGACCCCUAAAAUCCGGGUGUGACAGAAGUGGUAUCAGAGGAAUGUUGACUGUAGGACGAAACCUAGAUAGAAAUAGACAAACCUUUACCUACUUACCUUACUCUGAUUCUUCUAUACUUUUCUUGAUCUAAUCUCAUCUUCUACUGUUCUACUCUGAUUAACCUUACCUUUGCUACUCUGAUUCUUUUCUAAACUUAUCUCAAUCCUUUCUCAUCUAUUUCCGCUUUGCUCUGAUUAUUCUACCAUGUUCCUUCUAAAGACAAAAGUGGAUUUCAUACUUUGAAACCCUGUGCCUAAAGUGACUUUAGGAAUAGGAGACCUACUCUUAGGAACAAAAAUAAAACUAUUUUUUAUAGAUAUCUAUGCGCUUGAGUGUUUGUUCUUAUGAUAUCUGUUUGAUUUAGAUCUUUGAUUGAGUGUGGUGAAUUAUGGAGUAAUGUCCGCAAUUACAUCUGCAUAUACAUAUAGGCAUAAAUAAAAUUCAUAAGAUAACCACACAACUUAGAUUAUCCUCCAUUAAAAUGUAUCUAUUUCAUAGAGAUUCCUCUUAUCUUAAAAGAUUCUUUCUUAUCUUAAUAGAUCUGACUAAUCUCAAAAGAUUCUAUCCUAUUCUUAGAGAUACAUCUUGUUCUAAUAAGCAUACUUAUCCCCACCACCUUGCUUAUUUCAUAAUGUCGUAACAAACACGAUCUAUUCCAAAAUUAAAUUAAGUAUACUUUAUCCAGUCUAAUCUGAUUACACCAAUUUAAUUCUGAUCCCAUCUAAUUUGAUCGGAUCUAACCUAAUGGACAAACAUGUUAGAUAAUACUGGUAAAAUAAGAUUGGAUCCUACUCUUAUAAAUAUGUUUUAAUCCAAGUUGGACUAAGAUUCCAAUUUAGACUAGACCACAUACAACAACCUUGCCAUAUGCAACUACCUUAACCACUCGAUAGUUACAUAACCCCUCUGUUUUAACCAACAGGGAUUUUGACCUACCUCAUAUAGCCUGCCCUACCCACAGCUAUCUUAUCCAAGACACCACUACGAAGAAGAUCAACCUCAUCAAGGAAAGGAUAAGAGUCAUCGUCAAGGAUAAAAGUUAAACCAGAUCUCUAGAUGCAUCAAGAUCCACCAUCCAGGAUAGAAGUUUUUCUUGCCUAACCUUCUCUUAUCCUAAGCUUUUCUAAAUCUUACUUAUUAGCUAAAACAUAAUAUGCACAUGUUUUCUAGCCACACUUGCUAAUGAAGAGAAACUUUUGGAAGCAUUAAAACUAAUUGAAAACGAAAAGUAAAAAAAAACUUUCUAUAUCCCUUUCUUGCUAAUCUCGAGGACGAGAUUAUUUUUAAGGGGGUAGGAUUUGUAAUACCCAAAAUCUUAGAAAUAAAAUAGAAUCCUUGAUUAUAUGAUUUUGUGACUAUAUUUUUGCAUAUCAACAAUGUGGGUCCAGUUAAGGCAAAUAAUAAUUAUCUAAAUAUAUAAAUUGUGCAUCAUGCUGGGUCUUUAAAUGUGCACUUGACUUAGAUUUAAACUUCAAAAUGCAGUUCGAAUUUAGAAUUAAAUUUUAGUAAAGAAAUUAAAAAUAGACAAAAAAGAGAGAAAGGAGAGAAUUAAAUCGAGCUAACCAUAAAAUGGCCAGACCAUUUCACUCGACAUGCAAGCAUGAGCGUGCAUAGAUUUUUUUUAACCCUUUUCUUAUUUCUUUAUUCUUUCUAUCGGCUGCUUCAUGACGAUAUCCAUGGGCCCCAGCGCUAACAGGUCACAGCGGUUGUUGUGCUCUACAGAGACUAUCAUGUGGGCCCUAUUCUCUAGAAUUGUAUCCAUGCAUAGUUUGUUACGUACGAAUCAAAUCAGGUAACCGUCCAUGCAUGCGGUUUCUGCGGGCGGGCUCAUUGCGAUUAGGAGCAGGUUGUUGAGAUCCGAAAUUUCUGCCAGAUGCCAACUGAACCAGCUCCUGAGUAUUAAAACCGAACCCCCGUGACUCCCUGCACUAUCUCAUCCGCUGCUGGGAGCUUGCAAUCUUCCAGGAACGUUUUUUUGGUGCUAGCCGAGAGAGAAUCGAGAGGAAGAGAGAGAGAAAACCAUGCGCUGUAGCCUGCUUGUGAAGCCACAAGGCCUCGGCUGGUCGCUCAGGAGGGAUCUCACCGGUGGGCGCUAGAAGGUUGGACAACCGAUGUCGCGGGGUGUGAAGCUCGCCGGACUUGGGAUCUCUGCGCGGUCACCUGUGCUCGGCUGAGCCGUGGUCUGGAGCGACCACAUGGCGAGGGGACUGGACAUCGGAGUUUAGAGCGUCGCCGUGAUCCAAGCGCCACGGUCGGUCAACUCUGCUCCGGUCGACGGUGAGUUUCCCCUCCGCACUCCGUUGCAUCUUCUAUGUUGGCGCUCGGUGUGGCGAUCUAGGAGCUGUCGGGGAGGAUCCUGUGCGCCGAGCCGUAGAUAGAAGAUGAUGGCAUGGCCAUCGGUAAGGGGAAGAAGGCGAGCCCAGGGCCAUCGACCUCGUGAUGAACGGUUAAGAUUAGAAGAAAGGGUAGAAGAAGCCGGGGCCAUAGGAUGCGAUCCGAACGGCCACGAUCAAAUCGCAGAUCCCCUUUUGGGCGAUGGAAGCUAGACCGUAGAUCCGAGAUCCAAGGGCCCUGAUGGCAUACCGGUUCGGUAAAGUGAGCAUUUCAUCUAGGUCCUUGGUGUCUAAUCCAACGGCUCAAAAUAGAUCUUACCCCUUCGCCGUGCACUUUUCUUAAAGAGCCCCUUUGUUUUCUAGAAAAUAACCCGUGGUCCAUGCGGGUGUGGUUCUGAGUGUUGAGAACAUUUGCGCAGGGGACCCUGUACUUUACAGAAUUUGAUGCGCGGUCCAGAGAGAUAGAAAAAUCAGAAAAAUAAAUUUAGAAAAUGAUUUUAAUGUGAAAAUAAAUGCUAGAAACUUGUAAAAUUCAUAGUUAAUUCAUUUUAACUCCAAAUUGAGUCAUUUCAGUUCCUAUAAUUUUGUAUUAAUAUUGUCUAUCAACCAGUAACACUAGUUAGCCAUGAAGAUUGAAUUAAAAUUGUUCAUUUGGAUUAAUCUAUUCUAAGCACUAAAUAAUUUCGGAAAUUCAUAACCGUAGCUCCGAAUUUAGUGGUUCUUGUUCCUACGAUCUCGUAGCAACGUGUAGAUUAUUAUUAUACAAUUUGUUCUUAUAUUUGGUGUAAUAUUAAUUUUGCCUAUACCAUGUUUGUCUGUAUUGCUACGACUAGCAGCGAGGUUACGAGUCACCUGAAGAUCAUCCUGGUAUACCUGGAAUCUCAAGUCCCAGGCAAGUUGUGCCCUUGAUCACUUCUUUUUACCCACUCAUGUUCUAAUUAAUCAUAAUGAUCUGCAUAGGUUAAUUUUGAUGGGACCCAAUAGGUUACCCUAGUUUGAGUAUCUUUAUACCUUGUUUACCACUAAACUUUUUGGGUAGUACUUGCUAGUGCUUUAUGUGGUUUUGGGUAUGAAGAUACAUUAUUCAUGAUCACACUUUUAUUAUCUGUUUAUUAUCACUGUUCAUGAUAAGAUCAUUAUGUUAAUUGGAACAUGGAGCGACCACCCGGGAAAACAGUGCUACCACAAGGGUUUAAUGGGACGCCCUUGGCUAAUUAAUUAGGAAAGCUAGUGGAGGACUACCUUACCCGAAAGGGGCAAGGGCAGUAGGGGAGUGGUCAGUGUAGGGAGGCCCUCGGGAGGAUUUUGCUGCGAUGGCGGUCCUGCAAGGGAUUCCUGCAUUGGAGCUUCCUAUAAACUGUAGCGGGUUUUCUGAAGCUAGUGGAACUUUGUAAAGGCCUCGUAGUGUUACCCUGCCUCGCCUCCUCGGUAGAGGUGUAUGGGAAGUCGUGAUCCCUUGGCAGAUGGGUAACAUGACUUGUGGGUAAAGAUGUGCAACCUCUGCAGAGUGUAAAACUGGUAUACUAGCCGUGCUCACGGUCAUGAGCAGCUCGGACCCUCACAUGAUUAAUCUAUGGAACUUAAAUUCAAUUUGUCAUAUGCAUUGCAUCGCAGGUGAUGUUGUUACUUCUGUUCUACUAUUUAAUUGGGUUGGUAUUUACUUAUACUUAGUAAUGGCUAAUAAAAUUUUGACCAACUUUAAAAGCAAUGCUCAGCUUCAGCCAUCCUCUUUGGUAAGCCUUACACUUCACAUGAGCUCCCACCUUUGGCGAGUUCAUACACAUUAUUCCCCACAACUUGUUGAGCGAUGAACGUAUGUGAGCUCACUCUUGCUGUCUCACACCCCCACAGGUCAAGAACAGGUACCGCAGGAUGAGGCGCUUGGAGGAUGCUGCGAUGUGUUCGUGAGAGGUCUAGGCCGUCGUCUCCCAGUCAACUUUGGUUGCUGGACCGUUGUCUCCUUAUAAUGUAUUUAUUUAUUUAUUUUGUAUAGAACUCCUGUUAUGUAGUAAAGAUGUGACAUUCGAUCCUGUGCCAUGAAUCAUCAUAUGUGUGAGACUUGGUCCCAGCACACCUGGUGAUUAUGUUCGCGCUCGGGUUUUGGACCCCUAAAAUCCG
rnacentral:lncRNA from 1 species